GAUGAACGCUGGCGGCGUGCUUAACACAUGCAAGUCGAGCGGGAAACUUCGGUUUCCAGCGGCGGACGGGUGAGUAACACGUGGGCAACCUGCCUCACAAUGAGGGAUAGCCCUCCGAAAGGAGGAUUAAUACCUCAUAACACAAGAGAAACGCAUGUUUCUCUUGCCAAAGAAUUUCGUUGUGAGAUGGGCCCGCGGCGCAUUAGCUUGUUGGUGAGGUAACGGCUCACCAAGGCUUCGAUGCGUAGCCGACCUGAGAGGGUGAUCGGCCACAUUGGAACUGAGACACGGUCCAGACUCCUACGGGAGGCAGCAGUGGGGAAUAUUGCACAAUGGAGGAAACUCUGAUGCAGCAACGCCGCGUGAGUGAUGAAGGUCUUCGGAUUGUAAAGCUCUGUCUUCUGGGACGAUAAUGACGGUACCAGAGGAGGAAGCCACGGCUAACUACGUGCCAGCAGCCGCGGUAA
rnacentral:rRNA from 1 species